AUGGGCAGGUGGGUUAGGAUAAAAGAAUGUCCACUUCAAAGGCAAAAAGGUAUUGGAUACAGAACAUGCUUCAUAAAAUAAUUGGAAGCUAUCAAGUAUUUUACCUCUUUGAAAACGGUUGCUGCUUUAAAGGCGACAUUUUUUUCUUUAGCCAAAAUAGCAUAAUUGUGUAUCAAAGAGCCUAAUCAUAACUCUAAGCUUCACUGUGAAGAGUGAAAAUGUUAGCUAAUUUCUUAAGCAUUUUCCUUUUCUGAAUAUUUGUUAUUUGUGGGUGUGAGUAUUGCUGAUUCAGUGGAAUGCCUCUCUUUCCCACUCCCACACUGAUCUCUCUUUGACCUCCUUCAAAGCUGUGAAGAGGCCUAACUCAAACUGGAAGAAGAACAUCUCAUAUUUUUGUUAGAUAAUUUACAACCCAAAAAUAUGAACAGAAGAUUUUCCAAUUUCAGUUAAACCAGUGCUCUCCUCAUCCGUCCAUCACGUUUUCUUCUCCCUCUGUUUUCCUCUCUAAUCUCUUUCCCCACCCCCAAAUCUGGUUCCAACUUACCAACAUUUCUUCCACACCUGAUUCCACCUACCACAUACCAGCCUCCAACCUACGCUCCCUUGUAUAGCUAUACCCUGGCAAUCUUUUGUCUCUCUUCUUUUGUCCAAAUUGAUCAUUUGAGUUAUUCUAGUAUACUGUUUCUUUUUCUUUGUGAUCAAAUUCAUAACUCCCCAAUUCCCAUGAAAAUUGGGUCUUGCUUCAAGUCAAACACCUCUGGCGUGGGAUCUGAGAGGCAAAUCCAUAGCGUAAAGCCGUGAGCCUUGCAGACUAUGCUCUUCUACAAGACUCCAAUUGGAUGCCACUUUACCUGGGAUUCUGAAUGUGUCACUGUGCUCCAGACUUUCUCAUUACCAGCACACCCAGAGACAUCCCUGACAUUUCCACUUUAAAGUCUAAAUUUGGCUCUACCCAUUAUUAAGAUGUUUAGAGAGAUAAAUUUGUACUCUUUUAAACUCUAAAUAAUCCAGGUUUACUCUACCCAGCCUUCUUUUAAUUCACUCUUUCAAGGAAUCCAUCACAUUAAAUUCUUUAGAUUUUUUUUUCAUAGUUAGAUAUGAGCUUAAGUAUUUUCUCACGUGUAAACUCCAAGUGCCUCUGUGCCUUCUGGUUUCCAGGAUCCCUGAUUUCUUUUUCUCUCAGCAAAGGAUGAAAACAAAGUUGUGAACAUUGGCUUCACGUCAAGCAGCAACCCCUGUGUGCCCGACCACUCAGCUCAUUCUACAAUGCUUUCGGGAGUGAAUGUGGUUAAGUUAUAAUGAAGGCUCAAGCAUCAGACCCCAAUGCACUUUCAUCAGGGGAUCCUCCGGUAAUAAUCAAAGGCAGCUUCUUGAAUCAACACAUUUACUUCAUCUGCGUAUGCUGAGGCUGGAUCAGGGUGAUCUUCUCUGUACUUUCCUCUGUAGACAUCUGGAGAUGGUGCCUAGGAGAAGUGCUUUUCAAAGGAUGCUGGCUAUCGCAAAGACUUACGCCAGCAGCAACCAGCCAGUCACCAGCCACUUCCAUUACCCAGCGUCACGUCACGUUCCAGGUGAUGAGGCUGACUGAUGAAGGCUGAGCUGUGGAUGUUGUCUACAUGGCUUUUAGUAAAGCAUUUGACGAAGUCCCUCCGAAGAGUCUCAUCCACAAGAUUAAGAUCCAUAGGGUCCAUGGUGAAUUGGUUAUCUGGAUUCAGAAUUGGCUUACCUGUAGGAGACAGAGACUAGUGCUCAACAAGACUUAGUCUGGUGGAAGUCUGUGACUUCUGGUUCCACAGGGAACUCUACUGGAACCUCUGCUGUUAUAUAUGAGACAUAGGAGCAGAAUUAGGCCAUCUGGCCCAUCGAGUCUGCUCCACCAUUCAAUCAUGGCUGAUCCUUUUUUUUUCUCCACCUCAACCCAUUUCCUGGCCCUCUCCCUGUAACCCUUGAUGCCAUGUCCAAUCAAGAACCUAGCAAUGUCUGCCUUAAAUACUCCCAAUGACCUGGCCUCCACAGCUGCAUGUGGCAACAAAUUCCACAAAUUCACCACCCUUUGGCUGAAGAAAAACCUGGAUGAUAUACACAAAUAAAUGACCUGGAUGAAAAUUAUAGAUGGGUGAGUAUGUAAAUUUCCAGAUGAUACGGAGAUUACUGGUGUUGUGGAGAGUGUAGAAAACUGGAAAAGCUAUAGCGGGAUAUAGAUCUCUUAUGGAUAUGGGAGAAGAAAUGACAGGUGGAGUUUAACCCAGACAAACAUAAGGUGUGAGAUCAAAUAUAAAGACAAGGACAAUGGCAACGGAAAGGCCUUUAGCAAUGUUGAUGGACAAAGGGAUCUUGGGGAGGAUGGAGGAACUUGGGCGGCCGAGGCUGGAGGGAGAUCUGGUCAAAGUUUAUACAAUUAUGAGAGGUGUGGACAGAGUAGACAGCCUCUUUUACCCUGGACUGAAAUACUGAAAUGUCUACUACCAGAAGGCAUGCAUUUAAGGUGGGGGCAGGGGCAAGUUCAAAGCAGGUGUGCGGGGCAAGUUUUUAUUUUACACAGAGAGAGGUGGGUGCUUGGAAAGCACUGCCUGGGGUGAUAGUGGACGUAAAUUUGACAGGGUAUUCCAGAGCCUCUUGGAUGUACAUGAAUGGAAGGAUAUGGACAUUGAGCAGGCAAAAGAGAUUUGUUUUGUUGUGUAUUUGAUUACUAAUUUAAUUGGUUCAGCACAGCACUGUGGAGCUGAAGGGCCUGUCCCUGUACUGUACUGGUCAGUGCUCUAUCAAGCAGGGUCAGUAGUGAUCAGCAGACUCUCUUUAAAUAAUAACAUCUGCCUCCCCUCCACCGCCGAGGAGAAUUGCUUGAGAAGCAAUGUGCUACCAUUGCCCUGAACAGCUUCAGCUGAAAUUCCUCUUCUGUGUUCCGGGGAGCUUGUUGAACAACCAUGCACUGAAGCUGAAUUCAUAACUUAAUAUGCUCUGAAUAGUAAUGAGAUGUUCAUUAUAAAAGGAUUCAGUCCGGUGGGGCGGGGGGGGGCAGCUGCAGCCUGCGUUUAUGUAAACAGUCACGUGUACUGAGGUACAGUGACAAACUUUCUUUGCCUGCCGACCAUACAGAUUGUUGCAUUACAACAGGACAUGGAGGUGAGUGGAUCUGCAGAGAGCAGCUUGCAAACAGUCGCCACGCUCUGGCAUCAUCUUCAAAGCAGUACCCUCGGUGAACUGCUCUCAGGGGCCUCUCAGGAGCCGCCAAACAAAAUCACAUCAAACAAAGAGAUCUCCCUAACCUUCUCAAUUGCUGCCCUUCUUCUGGGGCGAGGAGCCCAGAGUUGGACUUUGGCAAUUGCCAGCAUGAAUGCCCAUGAUGCAACAAGAUUAGAGAUGUGUAAGAGGCCAAGGCUGACAGAGCUCUUUGGGCUGAGGACAAAGGGGAUGAGCUUUACAAGUUCCAAUAUUGCACAACCUUAACUGUAAAGAAAUUUUUUUUUCAGAAUACUUUCAGUAACCAUCUCCCCAAACACUGGCAAUUUCAGCUACUUGGUUAGACAUUCAUUUUACGUAUGUCAAGAAAAUUGCAAGUACAAUGCAAAAUUACUGUUACGAUAUGAAGUAAAAUAAAUAAAUAGAAUAAAAGGCAAAAUCCCAACAUAUGCAGAGAGAAAAACUUCUCCACUAAUCUCAUCCUUUCAAACCUUCAAAAGCCAACAAAGGUUUUGCCAAGUGUUCUUGUAUCCUUUGUUAUAGUAGCUUUUGCCACCUCCUUCAAUAAAGGAGGUUUAUAUAAAUGCAAACAACAGGAAUUCUGCAGAUGCUGGAAAUUCAA